GCUAAUGGAAACUCAAGGUUUGAAAGGAGGUGAUGUAAGACAGGCGACCCUAGAGAAAGAAGCAGCUGUCACAAAUGCCAGACCCAAAUGCAAUGUUAAGAUGAUGGAUGAAGACUAUGAACUGUAGAGAAGGGUAGAACCAGCAUUAACUUCAGCUGACGUACAUGCUUCUGCCAAAUAAAACUGCACAGCAGUAAAGCAGGCAGAGAAGAAAGAAUCAACAGCAAAGGUACAACUGGAACCAUGGAAAUCUCCAGGAGAGAGGUAAAGGGAGAGGCUACCCUAAAGCCCGAAGACAGAAAGUGUCCCACUCACCUGAGGGACCAGGACAGGGGAGUCUUGGGAGGCCAGGUCUGAGACGGCGGAUGACAGCCCCUAGCUAAUAAAAGGGCUGCAGGAGAGUCCGCCAAGAGGGGGAGAAUUCCUACCACAUUCGGCAGCUGGGCCAGCCCAAGCCUGCCAUGGGUUAUAAGACUUUUACUGCCAUUUAAGCAGGUCAAGUCGAGGACGCAAGGUAAAAACAGGGUACUUUCUAAGCUGCGACAAUGAAUAAUUGGUGGCUACAGGGCAAGAAGCCAUGGAAACUAAAGGAAAUUUGGACUGGACAUCAGAGACCACAGGAGUGACCUGUAGAGCCCCUUGACUUUACUGGUUAGGAUCAAAAGCUAACCACCAAAUACUAAGGCUAGUGCUUCUUUCAGUGUCCUCCUGCCCUCCUCUCCUCUUUCUUCAUCAGUCCUGAAGCAGGCAGGCCCAUGCUGCUGAUCCCAAGUUGACCCAGGAGUACACUAAGGCUUGGACAGCUUAGUUGACCUGUCCAAGAGCACAGGAACACUCCUGACUUCCAGCCCAGUGUGGUUUCCAUUAGACACUCAUGCCAUGGCAUGAAAACCACAAUGAGGUCAGGCAGAUAGUUCUGCAACCUGGAACUCUGAGCAAAAUUGGUUACGACUGCAGCUGACAUACAUGGCCCCAUACAGCCCAGCAAGGAAGGGGGCAAAGGUCACACCAAGUCAGGACAGAGGCUGGGCCUCUGCUGUGUUCAGGGAACCUUUGGAUAAAUUCCUUCUCCAAUAACAACUCCCUUAUGUAAACUAACCAAAAGAAAGCAAACCCAAGUUUCUGCAUAUUUUCAUUGUUUUGUAUGAUUUUUGCUGGUCUUAGAGUGCUUAUGAGUCAGAAGCAAUUUCAGGAAAUGCUGCCCAUGUCACCAGCUGGAAUCCAGGUUCCUGUUCUGCAAGAGCCUUCAGACGCAGGCACAUGUUUGAGCAUGCAUGCACACAUACACACAAGCUCUCACACAUGCCUACACUCACGUUCACAAACCCCCAUAUUCACAGACACUCACUGGCAUACACUCACACAUAAACUCAUAUACACACAUACCUUCUCACAUGCACUGGCACACACACUCACACAAACCUACACCAUAUUGACAAAUUCACAUACAUAUAUAUACUCACAUAUUUAUACAAACACAUGCUCACAUAUAUACUCAUAUAAUAUGCACACACACAAACCCAGAAACACACAUCCACUCACACUCCCUCAUAUACACACAUACAUACUCACACAUACACUCCCACACACGUGCACAUGCACGCACGUGCAGACACGCAGAGCCAAGACUUAGCUGUGGCCAAGGCGUCCUGACACUAAAUAUAAGCACGAUGUGCUCGGCGCAAAAGGCACUUGUUGCAUGAGAAUUAAAACUGGAUCAAGUCCACUGAUUAUUUAGCUAUUUCCAAAUAUCUGCAUGUUUUGCUUUGUGGACAUCUGAAUAGUUGGCUGGGGCAAGCUUUUCUCUGUACCUCCUUCCCUCCGGGGAUGUGUGAAUCAGUUGUUCCUAACCAUCCCUUCCCACCAAGGCAGAGCAGUGGGAAGUGAGGUCAGUUGGCUGUCUCUGUUGCAAAAGGUACACAUAAAAAUGCUGAUUUGAAAGACAGGGGACUGAAGGGACUUUGCAAAGUGACAGCGGCAGCCCCCUGACUCAGAAGGGGCCAUCUUUCUAGGGGAAAAGAGACUGACAGCCCUCCCUCCUUUCUCCCCACUUUCUCAUAAGUCCUCAACAGAGGACCAGAAGCCUUCUCACCUUCUAUCCUUUCUGCAGGGGUCCAUCCCAGGUCACAACACACUUCCUUGGGAAUUUCCAAUCUCUGCAGAAUCAAUGAGCCUAAGAUAUAAUGAUGGCUCUCUGUCUAUGGGAACAAAGUUAUUUCUGUAAAAUGUGAUACAACACACUACACAAAGUGUACACAAAGCCAAUAUUUAUUCCUAUCUAGUUGUGUUUGCCCAGCAUUUGCUAUUUCAUUGUGUCUAUUUCUGUUUGGUGUCUAUCUGUCUGUUUUGUCUCCCCCAGACACGUAGAAGAGGAAUGCUUUCUCCAGCCAAUGAUGAGUACAAGAUUCCCAGAAAUUAAGUCCUCAAUUAGGGCUUUGGGUGAUGAUGGUAAUGACGGGACAUUCUGAGUAAAACAUUGUAACAAUGAACUAUUAAGGUAUCUAAAGGCGAUUCUGUUUCAGAGGAGGACGUCAUCGAUUUGCUUGCCUCUCAAUGCUGUUCAAACAGUAACAAGGCAGCAUGUUAGUGCCACCCUUAUUCCCUGUGGACAGCUUGAGAGUUUCUUUCUCAUGAUAUAAGAAGGCUCACUGGCAAAGUGGGGAGAAAAAUGAAACCCAAUUCUGUUAAAAAGCCUCUGUCUUCCAAGAAGACACUAAGGAUCAGAAACAGAUGAAGAAUUAUUCUCUGAUACUUGGUGACAACAGGCGUCUCCACUGCAGGGGUAUGGGAGUGAAUUGCUGGAGCAUGGUUCAAUUUGAUAUUCAUGCAUUGCUUAGUAUACUGCUCAGCACACAGUAGGCCAUCAAUAAUGCUGUGGAAUGAAUGAAUGAAUGAAGUCCUCUCUCCCCUGUUGUGUGGGCAUAUUCCUUAGACAUUUCCAUGUGCCUCAUUCGUGUGAGAGUUCAGUCCUCAUGGAACUCAUCACUGGCCACAUCUUCCCAGCAAUGAGUUCUAUGAAAAUUGCACCCUCACUUUGGCUGUGAUCUCCCUAUAAUGCUGUCCUGAGAGCUUGUGAUGGAAAUCCCUUCAAAAAAGAAAGGGCUUUCCUUUCUUACCCCCCAAACAUCAUUCCCCUGAAUACAGCUUUCUAUUACAGAGGAUUUCAGAAUCGCUUCUCAUCCCUCUGCACGGGUCACUGACCUCUCUAUGCACUCCUCACCUAGACUGUGAGCUCCUUAAGACAGAAAAGGAACAGCUUAUUUACUGCUCACCUCUAGAGCUCAGCACACUCUAGAGCUCAUCCAGUGCACAGCAAUUGAUGAUGAGCUUAUUCCAGGAAAAGUUGAAUGGGAGUGGGAGGAGGACUGCAUCGAGGUUUGCUCAGACUAUCUAAUGACAUCCAUUGCAAAACCUCAGGGUUCCUUGGGAAUAGGCUGUGUUUCCUGGAGAUGGGCAAUGUGGAAAGAAGAUUGCCACAGCCUCUGUGGCUGAGCAGGUAUGUGGAAGAUGGUUAUCGCUUGCUCAAUAGGGACAGUGUAGCAUAGUGAUUUUGUCUGAACUCUAGAGCCAGACUACCUGAGUUAUGCCCUGGCUUUCCCUUCAUUUGUUUUAUGACCUUAGAGAGGCCCUUUAAUCUCAUGUGCCUUGAUUUUCUUAUAUGUAAAUGGGGCAAUAAUCACAGAGAAGAAUAGACGAGUUCAUAUACGUAAAGGGUUUAGAUCAUGGCCUGGCACACACUAAGUUUGCAGGAAAUAUUCGCUAGCAUGAUUCUCUUUGUGCAUGAAGGAAGUGGGGAUCGUUCACCAUGGAAGGAAACUACUCUAGAUCUGAAGGACAAUGUUUUCAGUUGAACUACUGAGUCUCAUCCCUUUUCGGGUUCCUGUCAAUUCUCUAACGGGUCUUCCUGUCCCCACCCUUGCUCUCUCCAACACCUGCUUCACCAAGUCUCCAGGAUCACCUUUCCAGCAGCAGGUCUGACCGCAGCACUGUCUUCUUGAAGGCCUCUCCUGCCUCUGUCCACAGGACACACUCUCGGCUCCCAGCUCGGUACUCAGUGCCCUGCCAGGUGUGAUCUUGGCCACGGCUCCUUGCUUCACCUCCUGCCACUUUCCACCUCUCCCUCCCAAUGGGCUUCAGGCGCACACGGAGUUCUGAACUUCCUCCCACAUAUGAUGGUCUUGCAUCUGAUGUAGGCACUGCUCCUGCUGUCAGGAAUGGCACCUUCUCCACUGCAACCCCCUCCUCACCCUCACCCUCACCCUGCUGUGUGACCAGCAGGCUCUGCUCUUCCUUAAGAGCACUCUUGAGGAAUUACCUCAUUGGUGAAGCUGUCUUAGAUGCUGUUAGGGCUGAAUCGUGUUCCCCAGAAUUCAUAUAUAGUAUUCCUAACCCCCAGCACCCCAGAUGUGACUAUAAUUGGAGACAGGGCCUAUAAAGAGGAAAUGAAGUUAAAAUGUGGCUGUGGGUUUGGACUCUGAUCCAUUCUGGCUGGUGUCCUCAUAAGAAGAGGAAACUUGGACAUGCAAAGAGACAUGAGGAUACAGGCACAAAGGGAAGACCGCAUGUGAACUGAGGGAGGUGGCCAGAGGGCCUGAGAGGAAAGCAGCCCUGCCAACAGUCUCAUCUUUAACCUCUGGCCUCCAGAACUCUGAGGAAAUCAAUUUCUGUUGUUCAGGCCACCAAGCCUGUGGUAUUUUGUUAUGGAAGCAGAGCAAGUUAAUACAGAUGUCCAUAGAAUAGCCUUGGUUUACACCUUCCCUAUAGGGGAUAAGCCAUUUAUGACAUUGGCAGCUCCUAUUAGGCAGGGCUCAGAGAUACUCUUUAUUCUUCACUCUAAACCCUGUACAACUUCUGGAAGCAUGUGUUAAUAAACAUCACGGUCAAGAACUUCGCAGUGAGCAUGUGAGCACAUGGGUAUCCUUGGUGUCUGGGCAUACAUCCUACUUCAAGACUAUUUUGUUUUCUAAAUGUAUGCAAAUGUUUGAUUCUACUCUAUAGCAUGCUUUUGCUAUAAUAAUGUCUUGAAUUUCAA